GAACGCUGGCGGCAUGCCUAAUACAUGCAAGUCGAACGAGAGGAAGGAAGCUUGUUUUCUGAAUCUAGUGGCGACGGGUGAGUAACACGUAGGUAACCUGCCCAUGUGCCCGGGAUAACUUCUGGAAACGGAUGCUAAACCGGAUAGGUAGCAGACAAGCAUUUGACUGCUAUUAAAGUGGCUAAGGCCAUGAACAUGGAUGGACCUGCGGUGCAUUAGCUAGUUUGGUGAGGUAACGGCCCACCAAGGCGACGAUGCAUAGCCGGCCUGAGAGGGCGGACGGCCACAUUGGGACUGAGACACGGCCCAAACUCCUACGGGAGGCAGCAGUAGGGAAUUUUCGUCAAUGGGGGGAACCCUGAACGAGCAAUGCCGCGUGAGUGAGGAAGGUCUUCGGAUCGUAAAGCUCUGUUGUAAGAGAAAAACGACAUUCAUAGGGAAUGAUGAGUGAGUGAUGGUAUCUUACCAGAAAGUCACGGCUAACUACGUG
rnacentral:rRNA from 1 species